rnacentral:rRNA from 1 species
AGCAGUCGCCGCGGUAAUACGUAGGUCCCGAGCGUUGUCCGGAUUUAUUGGGCGUAAAGGGGGCGCAGGCGGUUUAGUAAGUCUGGAGUUAAAGGCAUUGGCUCAACCAAUGUAUGCUUUGGAAACCGUUUGACUUGAGUGCAGAAGGGGAGAGUGGAAUUCCAUGUGUAGCGGAGAAAUGCGUAGAUAUAUGGAGGAACACCGGUGGCGAAAGCGGCUCUCUGGUCUGUCACUGACGCUGAGGCUCGAAAGCGUGGGUAGCGAACAGGAUUAGAUACCCCUGUAGUCCCUGUCUCUUAUACC